rnacentral:rRNA from 1 species
ACUGCUCAGUAACACGUGGACAACCUGCCCUUAGGUUGGGUAUAAACCCGGGAAACUGGGUAUAAUACCCGAUAGGUCUCGAUUGCUGGAAUGCAUCGAGAUUUAAAGCUCCGGCGCCUAAGGAUGGGUCUGCGGCCUAUCAGGUAGUAGUGGGUGUAGCGUACCUACUAGCCUACGACGGGUACGGGUUGUGAGAGCAAGAGCCCGGAGAUGGAUUCUGAGACACGAAUCCAGGCCCUACGGGGUGCAGCAGGCGCGAAAACUUUACAAUGCUGGCAACAGCGAUAAGGGAACCUCGAGUGCCAGGUUACAAAUCUGGCUGUCGAGAUGCCUAAAAAGCAUUUCAUAGCAAGGGCCGGGCAAGACCGGUGCCAGCCGCCGCGGUAACACCGGCGGCUCGAGUGGUAACCGUUAUUAUUGGGUCUAAAGGGUCUGUAGCCGGCCGGAUAAGUCUCUUGAGAAAUCUGGCAGCUUAACUGUCAGGCUUUCAGGAGAUACUGUCUGGCUCGAGGCCGGGAGAGGUGAGAGGUACUUCAGGGGUAGGGGUGAGAUCUUGUAAUCCUUGAAGGACCACCAGUGGCGAAGGCGUCUCACCAGAACGGACCUGACGGCAAGGGACGAAAGCUAGGGGCACGAACCGGAUUAGAUACCCGGGUAGUCCUAGCCGUAAACGAUACUCGCUAGGUGUCGGCCACGGUGCGACCGUUGUCGGUGCCGUAGGGAAGCCGUGAAGCGAGCCACCUGGGAAGUACGGCCGCAAGGCUGAAACUUAAAGGAAUUGGCGGGGGAGCAC